UCGGACAUUCCUUUAAACCGUGUGAUGCCUCCCUUCCUAUAAAAUUUAUUAUAUUUAUUUUGUCCUUUUACCGAUAUAACAGCAUGAGAAGGCGUCUGUCUUCUAUCAUUUGUUUCCAAUCGCUGUUUCGAUAUUUGAUUAUCCUGUACUAGUGAGGAUUUUGUUCUAUUAUGAUUCUGAUUGCGAUAUUCGCCUCGAAAACUUAUUGGAAGUCCUCGUUGUUGAGUGAGUCUCUGCUGUCCUUCCAACAUCCGUUGGGACUGGGAAGAGGGGUGCCAGUAAUAUUUUCCCUCGAGAAAUAUAGAUCAUUACAGAAUAAUUGGCGCUCUCAAGUUCGCUUUCGGGCACCCGAAAGGUAUGGGGGAAAGAUCCGUAUUGAGGUUUCGGCAGACUCAAAGAUUCGAUAAUUGUAAGAUGUGAGAUUUCCCGUUAUAUGGUUUGUCUUGUCCCGCUGGUGGGUUUAGACGCGGUGAGAUGUUAAUGUUAGACGGUUGUACUUCCGACGAUUUUUCUAGCUUUGGCUCCGAUCGGUAAGCCUAUCACUAAAUUGUUUUAUCGCUGUUUUUAAGCGUUUUCCGUUGAAACUAUCAUUUUGCUCUGUUGUAGAUAACUCAUUCGCAAUAUCGACCUCAUUUAAUUCUUAUAUUUUUCCUACAUAUGGUCGCGGAUUACCUGUUAUUUGUUCUAUCAUUUCCUCACGAGAGACAAUGAAUAGCGCUUCCUCGAAAGUUUUGGGAUUAAGAGACAUUACAUUUCUUUUAAUCUUCUCACUGAUCCUAAUCUUAAUCGUUCAUCCAGUUCCUUUUUUUUAACAGAGUUCGACCAUUUGCUUUUUCUUGUUCUGUGGUACUAGAUACUUCUCUCGUAGUUUUGGCCGCCAAUGACUAUAGUCUAACCGCGUACGUCUAUACAUCCUCGCUCCUGUGUUGUACGCACGUAUGAAAGCGCUGUAAUCUAACUGUAUACGGAAUUUUAGCAAAACCGUUUGAUCAUUUGGGUCUUAAAUGAUUUGUAAUCGUGUAUAUCUUUCAUUUUGAAAUCGCGCUGCGCAUACUCCCUUCUGAUGCCUGAAAGUUUUCAUUUGGCUCUUUCUAAACAUUGACGAUUUGUCCAAGAUGCCAACGCGACGAUUUCGUCAAUGGUAUCAAAAAAAAAAAAUCAGUAAUUCGCACGCACGUUAUAAGAUCGUCCUUGCUCGACAUUAUUUUGAUUAUUUACUUUAGCAUACGAGAGACAACUUUUGUGCUGA
rnacentral:lncRNA from 1 species